rnacentral:rRNA from 1 species
GCCUACGGGGGGCAGCAGUAGGGAAUCUUCCACAAGGGGCGGAAGCCUGAUGGAGCAACGCCGCGUGGGUGAAGAAGGUCUUCGGAUCGUAAAACCCUGUUGUUAGAGAAGAAAGUGCGUGAGAGUAACUGUUCACGUUUCGACGGUAUCUAACCAGAAAGCCACGGCUAACUACGUGCCAGCAGCCGCGGUAAUACGUAGGUGGCAAGCGUUAUCCGGAUUUAUUGGGCGUAAAGGGAACGCAGGCGGUCUUUUAAGUCUGAUGUGAAAGCCUUCGGCUUAACCGGAGUAGUGCAUUGGAAACU